GGCAUCGUUUAAUCCAAUUUUAGGCAGGGCUGCGGGGCUAGGUCUAGGAAAGCGGCAGCCAGGCGGCCGUGGGCUCCCGCGCACGGGACGGCAGCUCACGCCGCCAUCGGGGCCAACAUCGAAGAACGCUAUCUGGAUUGGGUACGACAGCUGACGGUGAUAGAUAGCUGGGUCCAGGAUAGGCCUCCUGAGGAGUUAUGUGCUGGCCCGGGACAAGGAGCCAGGUGCCUCCUCCUCGGACCCUCCACCUGUCGCUAAAGUGCUUGAGCGCUGAGGUCGACUCUCCCUGUACUGCACGUACAGGGACGCCCCACCAGCAGUGGUCCCCUCUUCCUGUCUCUCCUCCUCUCAGCAACCACUUCAACAUUGACUUCCCCUCCACAAGGACCGGGACCUUGCCGUGGUGUGGAGGUUUCAUACAAACACCGGUCCACCCACCCUGCAACAACUCUUCUACAGGACAGUGACACUACGUUUCUUUAAAAAAAAAAAAAAAAAAAAACAUUCUAUGUCUGCUGUGAUGUGAUGUAUGUGGUUUAAAAAAAAAAAAAACAUCCACACCACUGUGUUCUGCAUUCUGCAUCUCUACA